AGCGACUGUGCAGGUUACCGCGGCUGCUGGCACGGAGUUAGCCGGUGCUUCUUCUGCGAGUAACGUCACAGAUGUAAGGUAUUAACUUACACCCUUUCCUCCUCGCUGAAAGUGCUUUACAACCCGAAGGCCUUCUUCACACACGCGGCAUGGCUGCAUCAGGGUUUCCCCCAUUGUGCAAUAUUCCCCACUGCUGCCUCCCGUAGGAGUCUGGGCCGUGUCUCAGUCCCAGUGUGGCUGAUCAUCCUCUCAGACCAGCUAGGGAUCGUCGCCUAGGUGAGCCUUUACCUCACCUACUAGCUAAUCCCACCUGGGCUUAUCCAUCAGCGCAAGGCCCAAGGUCCCCUGCUUUCCCCCGUAGGGCGUAUGCGGUAUUAGCAGUCGUUUCCAACUGUUAUCCCCC
rnacentral:rRNA from 1 species